AUGUUAGCUUUUCGGGACACCUUGGAGUUGUGUGAGCUAGUUGAUCUUGGGUUCACCAGCCUACCUUUCACUUAUGAUAACAGACGAAGUGGGUCGACAAAUGUUAAAGUCAGACUUGAUCGGGCAGUGGCUACGAAUGAAUGGUGCAACUUGUUUGUGUUUGCUACAGUGGAACAUAUACCCUCUCCAUGCUCCGGUCAUGUUGCAGUUUUCCUCAAGGGAGAGCCGGAUUCGGGCCCCGUGGGGGGAAGGAGCAGGAGGUACGAGGUUUUCUGGGAGAGGGAUUCUAUGUUGCCUAAAGUGGUGGAAGAAGCAUGGGCUGCAGUAGGCAAGAUUCAAAAUCUUGCACAGCUAAGAGAUGCCUUGUCCAAAACUAUGACUGCUUUGGGCUCGUCGCCGACGGGAGAGAGGAGUUGUUGGAAGUUCAUUUGGAAUUGUGGAGCGCCUCCGACUGUUUUAAACUUUGCAUGGAGAGUUGCAACGGAUGGUUUGCCAACGUGGAAGAAUAAACACAAGAUAGGGCUGGAAACUACUGGUAUAUGCCCAGUUUGUGGCCUUGAGACUGAGGACAAUUUUCAUCCGUUUUUAAGAUGUCAAUUCGGUCGGGAUCUAUUUGUGGAAAUGGCAAAAGUCUGGAAGCUCCCUAGUCUACAAUCGAUAGCCAACUGUGGGAAGGAGUGGUUAUUGCAAGUUUUAGCUCCAAUGAGUGAGUUGGAGAGAUGCAUGUUGCUAAUGAUUUUCUGGAGAAGCUGGUUCGUAUGUAAUGAAAUGGUGCACCACAAGCCGGCCCCGCCGAUGGAAGUCUCUGUCAGAUUCUUGCGGAGCUACCUGGAGUCCCUUAUGGCGAUCAAACAUGACAAUGGAGCUGAUCCUGUUAAAGGUAAAUCAUAUAUCAACAUGGACGAUGGGGUGCAGCCGGUUAUACAAGUGACACGGUCACUUGGUUGGAUCAAACCGAGCCAGGGCUGGACUAAACUAAACAUUGAUGGUGCUUUUGGCUCGAACGAAGAUGCAGGUGCGGGGAUGAUUUUGAGGGAUUCAUCAGGGAAGAUUAUCUUCUCAGCUUGCAGAGCUUUGUAUUCAUGCAGGGAUGCGUUGGAGGCUGAGCUAUGUGCGUGUAUGGAGGGUUUAUCUUCCUCGAUUCAACGUACAUCACUACCAAUCGAAAUUGAGAUGGAUUCUUCGGUUGCAGUGUCCAUGAUCACAUGUGGGAGCAUGGAUCGCUCGAUAUAUUCUUCCCUACCGCCGUCGGGCCUAGCCUAUCUUCCUCCCCUCCUUCCGCCGUCGCCGGCUUGUGCCCGGAGGACGAUGGCGGUGGCGGGGGCUCUUCCUCCCUCCCGCGUCUCAGGGGUGACGGGGCCCCAACAUGCAUGGAGGUACGGCCGAUCUAGAUGCGACGGUGUUGGCUUCGACGACGACGGCAGUCGGCCCUGCCUCGGGCCACGAGCGGUGGCUGCAGCAGCUGGCCUGGAUCGGGCGGCGGCGCGAUGCGGUCUUCGGCGACAUGUCAUCUGGCUUUAG
rnacentral:rRNA from 1 species